UGACUGCUAUCGGAUUGAUACUAAGCCAUGCGAGUCAUUGUAGCAGUACAAGGCAUACGGCUCAGUAACGCGUAGUCAACCUAACCUAUGGACGGGAAUAACCUCGGGAAACUGAGAAUAAUGCCCGAUAGAACAUUAUGCCUGGAAUGGUUUAUGUUCCAAAUGAUUUAUCGCCGUAGGAUGGGACUGCGGCCUAUCAGUUUGUUGGUGAGGUAAUGGCCCACCAAGACUAUUACAGGUACGGGCUCUGAGAGGAGUAGCCCGGAGAUGGGUACUGAGACACGGACCCAGGCCCUAUGGGGCGCAGCAGGCGAGAAAACUUUGCAAUGUGCGAAAGCACGACAAGGUUAAUCCGAGCGGUUUCUGCUAAAGAAACCUUUUGUCAGUCCUAGAAACACUGAUGAGUAAGGGGUGGGCAAGUUCUGGUGUCAGCCGCCGCGGUAAAACCAGCACCUCAAGUGGUCAGGAUGAUUAUUGGGCCUAAAGCAUCCGUAGCCGGCUCUGUAAGUUUUCGGUUAAAUCUGUACGCUCAACGUACAGGCUGCCGGGAAUACUGCAGAACUAGGGAGUGGGAGAGGUAGACGGUACUCGGUAGGAAGGGGUAAAAUCCUUUGAUCUAUUGAUGACCACCUGUGGCGAAGGCGGUCUAACAGAACACGUCCGA
rnacentral:rRNA from 1 species